ACAGAAAUGUCUGAGAAGGCUAGAGGUGUGGAAGUCCUCUAUAAAAGCCCUCAAGGAGAUCACUAAUUCAUGUGCCUUUGUAUUCCUGGCACCAUGGCAAGGUCGGUCACCAGCACUGGAAUACCAAGGAAGGUGUGAACGCAUGGAUGGGUGUGAACGGAGAUGCCAGUUGCUCAUCACAUCUUAGUUUGCAUCUACAGUGGCACAGAGGGAGCAUCCGAGGUUCUUCAUGUCCUGUCUCUGCUUUUAGACAGAACAAUGUAGAGUGAGGAGUGUGUGAUAUUAGAUCAUCUGGGCUGCCAUGUCCCCCCAGACUCUACCAGAACUGGUAAAGCCUCAAUCCCUCAUCCUGUGGGCAGCCCACAGCCCCACCCGAAAGCGCUGCAGACUACAGAGUGACAUUCCCACGGUCCUGCCUUGCUCAAGCUUCCUUUCCUGUUGCUCUCUGCAUCAUGAGAUCAUCUCCUGCUCAUCUCCUGCUGCUGCUUUCUUCUCGAUGCCCUGACACAUCCUAGAACUGUUCACACCUUGGCUCGGCUUCACCAAACUCCACUCACACUAGCCAAUGUAUGUGGAAAAGACUGCGCGUGGAGAGCUUUUGAGGGCCACUUCUAGAAACUUGGAGGGAAUUUGACACUGGGCCAGGACAAAGAAAACCUGUUGAUUGACUGAGCUGGCUUGGUCAACUGUGGAUCAAGAGGACUAAGAGGCAUCCAUCUGGCUUGUGGCGUUUUGUUACAUCAGCUCUACUGAGCAGGUAAUAUAAGAGAAGUUACACUUCCUCUUCCACUGCUGCCCCAAUAAAUACAUCCUUUGAUGACUUCUCCCUCUGUCAACCCUGGUCUCCAAGUUGGAAACAUCUUCAGCAUCUCACACUUUCUGUGUACGUUGUCAAUGUGCAAUGUGCAUUCACUCACAUCUCCUCCAAGACAUUUUCUCCAUCUCUGGAUCAUACCCUGACCUGUGGGACAUACAUUCAUCUUUACAAACCAGCAUUCCCACCUAGACAUGCUUCUAAGACAUCUGCAGUUAACUCUUGAGAAACAGUGUCUGCAUCCAUCUCCAGCAGGAGUUGCAUGGCUCUGGAAUAAGAUUGGUAAGAGGGUAAAUGACAAUCCUGAGAAGAUACUGUCAGUUAUCUGGCAUGUGAUGGUCACAUGAAAGUGCUGACAUCAACAUGCUUCUAUUGCCUUCAUGGAAAACAUGAUGUUGAACAGAGACCUGAAGGCAGCAAAUCUCCAUUGUGGCCCCACCAGCAAUCUGAGAAUCAAUGUACUAAUAGGCUUUCACUAUACUGUCUGAUUUAAAGCCAAAGGCAUUGUUUCUUCUUUAAAGAAUCCCCAUUAUAUUCAGUGAUCCAGCUCUUAUCCCAACACCAUAAUUUGAAUAUGUAUGUCUCCCUAAAACUCAUGUGUUGAAACCAGUCCUCAAUGUGAUGGUCUUAAGAGACAGGGCUUUGGAAGUAAACAUGCCGUGGUCAUGGAGUCUCAAGUAGAGAAUUUGUGACUUUGAUAAAAAGCCCCACAAAAUCCCUCACUCAGUCAAGCACACAUGAAGACAGAAGGUAGCCAUCUGUAAGGGAAGAAACUUCGACAUCAGUCCAGACAUCAUAUCCGCUGGUGCCUGAUUCAUGGACAUUCAGCUUCUCAAAGUGUGAGAGAGGAGCACGUCAUUUAUAAUCUGCCUGCUUUGUGAUAUUUUGCUACAGUUGACUGAGUGAGCUAAGACACUCUAUUAGGUAUUUUGUUGAAAUACCUUGACCAAGGCAACUUAUAAGGAAGGAUUUAUUUGAGUUUUUGGUUCCAGGGGGAUGUGUCCAUCAUGGUGAGGAGGAAGGACAGCAAGCAACAGGAUCAGCAGCUGUUGUAGGAUACUGAGCGUGUUCUUCUAGAACCACAAGCAGGAAGCAAACAGAAUGACACAACGCUUUGAAGCUUCAAAGGAUACCUACCUCCAGUGACACACUUCCUCCAGCAAGGCCACACUGCUUAAGCAUAGCCAAACAACACCACAACCCGGGGACCAAGUGUUCAUCUUCACUCAAACCAUUACAGCUCCCCAGCAAACAUACUCCGGUUCAUUUGACCUAUUCUGCCCAUCUGUUUCUCCCAGGAGGUAAUUGGUUCACAGGUAAACGGCAGGAGUCCAGAGAAAGGAAGUCUUUAUGGUAUCCUCUUCAUUUUUUGGAAGCAUCCCCUCUCUGGUGGAUAUGAGACUAUGCAGCCUCCAUGCAGCCAGCUAGUGUGUGACAGGAGAAACCAGGGGGUACCCUGGGUCUCCAGUGAAAGUAAUGAGCUGCUGUUCCACGAGAUCAUAAAAAUGACCAAGCUGUUCAAACUAGACAGAACCAGACUUUAAUAUUGUUUAUCAUUAUAAACAAUUUAAUACAUUCAGAGCCUAGGAUUGCUUCUACAAAAUAUGGAUUAGAUUAUAUCUGUGCCUCUCAAGGAACAGUGAAAAUGUUUUUGAUCCUCAGAAUAAAUAGAAAGGAUAUAUCUCAUGAAAUGUAAUUCUGUUACCCCCCGAAAAAACUAAUAUUGCACAUUCUACAAGAUUCUAGACUAUUCUGCAAUACAAUUCUGAUGAAUAAUCCUAAUUAUAACCUUGUACAUGUCUAGAAUUUAAUUCCCUAUACAAUACAUAUACAAUAGUAACCCCAUAUCUGAGGUUUAAUUUUCUAUGUCUUUAGCUGCCCAAAUUAAUCACAGUGGAAAAUAUUAAAUGGAAAAUUCUUAAAAUAAACAAUUCUUAAGUUUUG
rnacentral:lncRNA from 1 species